UUACCCUGGCUUCUCUUCAACUUGUAAUUUUUGCGCCUUUUACUAAAAGACCUUGGAGAGAAGCAGUUCAAUAAGCCUUAAACAUUUUUUGUUACCCAGCAUUUAUUCUAUGA
rfam:Ciona savignyi cont_3789, whole genome shotgun sequence.